rnacentral:piRNA from 1 species
UAGCAAUCAACCGAGAAAGAUGGUAAG